GACGAACGCUGGCGGCGUGCCUAAUACAUGCAAGUAGAACGCUGAAGGCUGCGCUUGCUUCUCUGUAUGAGUUGCUCACGGGUGAGUAACGCGUAGGUAACCUGCCUGAUAUCGGGGGAUCACGGUUGUAAACGAUAGCUACUACCUCAUAAUCGUAGAUGUUGCAUGACAUUUUCUUAAAAGGUGCAAUUGCAUCACUACCAGAUGUGCCUGCGUUGUCUUAGCUAGUUGGUGAGGUAACGGCUCACCAAGGCGACGAUACAUAGCCGACCGGAGAGGGUGAUCGGUGACACUGGGAAUGAGACACGGGCCAGACUCCAACGGGAGGCAGCAGGAGGGAAUCGGCGGCAAUGGACGGAAGGCGGAACGAGCAACGACGCGUGAGUGAAGAAGGUUGUCGGAUCGUAAAGCGCUGUUGUAAGAGAAGAACGAGGGUGAGAGUGGAAAGGUCACACUGUGACGGUAUCGGACCAGAAAGGGACGGCUAACUACGUG
rnacentral:rRNA from 1 species